UCGAGCCCCACAAUUACCAAAAGUGGCCGAGCCCUAUAGGGGAGGAGGAGGAAAAUUUCCUUUUCCGAAAACUUGUCUUUCGCGCUAGAUUAUCGUACCUUAGAGUAUAGAUUACUUCGAGUAACCUUAGUAAGUAUCGAUAACUUAGUUUUCGAUAGAUUCUGAUAGUAUUUCUGUGGUUUUGCUCUAAAGGUGAUUUUGAGGAAUUCCCAGAGGAGCAAGCCUUUGAUUGUGAACGAGUGUUAGGAGAUCGUCCUGGAGAAUCUACAGAUGUCUUUGGCGGACUGGUUCACGACGGUUCACCCUUCGGGGGAAACUAGAGUUGGGAUGCUGGAACAGGAGCCCAUCGCGAUAGCGAGCGGAGGACGGAUGGUGUACAUAGACUAGGUCGUUCUGGAUUUCGAAUUCGGACGACGAUCAUGCCAGCAUGUAGGAUUGAGUGUUAGUCUGAGCUCCUCGAGAUGGGAUUAGUGUAGGAGUAGAGUCUUAGCUCUGAACAUUAUUUGUUUCAUUCGGGACAGGGUAGUUUCCCACCUAUAGCUUUUUGUGUGGUUUCUUUACGGGAAUCACAGAGAGUUGGUUGGACUUAGGAGGUCUUGUUUCAGGCCGAUGGGCCAGCUUAUUCUCAGUUUUGAGGGAUAGUGUUGCGGACACUUACCUUUAGAUUUGGUUUGUACAUUUUGCCUUCGGGCGCUACACUUUUCUUUCCGUCACUGGAGGUUACUCGUGACGAGGUUGUUACUUACAGCGGGGGCUGUUUAUAUAUU